GUUGAAACCCUAGUUCCCAUAUGAUCACCGAAGUUAAGCAAUGUCGAGCCUGGUCAGUACCUAGAUGGAUGACCACUUGGGAAUAAAAAGUGCUGUAAG